UAGGGAAUCUUCCACAAUGGACGCAAGUCUGAUGGAGCAACGCCGCGUGAGUGAAGAAGGUUUUCGGAUCGUAAAGCUCUGUUGUUGGUGAAUAAGGAUAGAGGCAGUAACUGGUCUUUAUUUGACGGUAAUCAACCAGAAAGUCACGGCUAACUACGUGCCAGCAGCCGCGGUAAUACGUAGGUGGCAAGCGUUGUCCGGAUUUAUUGGGCGUAAAGCGAGCGCAGGCGGAAUGAUAAGUCUGAUGUGAAAGCCCACGGCUCAACCGUGGAACUGCAUCGGAAACUGUCAUUCUUGAGUGCAGAAGAGGAGAGUGGAAUUCCAUGUGUAGCGGUGGAAUGCGUAGAUAUAUGGAAGAACACCAGUGGCGAAGGCGGCUCUCUGGUCUGCAACUGACGCUGAGGCUCGAAAGCAUGGGUAGCGAACAGG
rnacentral:rRNA from 1 species